UGGCGACCGGCGCACGGGUGCGUAACGCGUAUGCAACCUACCUUUAACAGGGGGAUAACACCGAGAAAUUGGUACUAAUACCCCAUAAUAUCAUAGAAGGCAUCUUUUAUGGUUGAAAAUUCCGAUGGUUAGAGAUGGGCAUGCGUUGUAUUAGCUAGUUGGUGGGGUAACGGCUCACCAAGGCGACGAUACAUAGGGGGACUGAGAGGUUAACCCCCCACACUGGUACUGAGACACGGACCAG
rnacentral:rRNA from 1 species